UACGGAGGGUGCGAGCGUUGUCCGGAAUUAUUGGGCGUAAAGGGCGCGUAGGCGGCCUUUCAAGUGACGGGUGAAAGCCCUCGGCUUAACCGAGGAACUGCCUGUCAGACUGGAAGGCUUGAGACCGGGAGAGGUGAGUGGAAUUCCCAGUGUAGCGGUGAAAUGCGUAGAUAUUGGGAGGAACACCAGUGGCGAAGGCGGCUCACUGGACCGGUACUGACGCUGAGGCGCGAAAGCGUGGGGAGCAAACAGG
rnacentral:rRNA from 1 species